CAAUUGGUUGUUAUAUCUCCACUAAUAAGCGGAGAGGGGUAAAACUCUCAAAGUAAGUUAUGUGGGUCAAGGUAUGGUGAUUAAUUGGAGUUCUAGUUAAUUUACUUUGAGAAAAUUAGAGUGUUUAAAGCAGCCUCUUGGGGCACUGAAUACAUUAGCAUGGGAUAAUAAAAUAGGAUCUUCACAAUAUAUUUUAUUGGUUUAAAUUGGAUAUGAAGAUAAUGAUUAAUAGGGACAGUUGGGGGUAUUCAUAUUGGGUGGUUAGCGGUGAAAUGCUCGGAUCCAUUCAAGAUGAACUAAAGCGAAGGCAUUUACCAAGGAUGUUUUCAUUAAUCAAGAACGAAAGUUAAGGGAUCGAAGACGAUUAGAUACCGUCGUAGUCUUAACUAUAAACUAUGCCGACC
rnacentral:rRNA from 1 species